rnacentral:rRNA from 1 species
AGAAUCAACGCUGGCGGCGUGCCUAACACAUGCAAGUCGCACGAGAAAGGGACUUCGGUCCUGAGUACAGUGGCGCACGGGUGAGUAACACGUGAAUCAUCUACCUUCGAGUGGGGAAUAAACUGAGAGAAAUCUUAGCUAAUACCGCAUAAUACCUACGGGUCAAAGCUAGCAAUGCGCUUGAAGAGGAGUUCGCGGCAGAUUAGGUUAGUUGGCGGAGUAAUGGCCCACCAAGACGAUGAUCUGUA